UGCAGCUGUUGAAUAUUAUACCCACUAUCUGAUACCUCAAAGCAAAGCAGCAACUCAUUUAUGGUAUAUGUUUGCCAGAUAAUCACCACAAUCUUUGACAUCAACAGACAAGUUGUUGGCUAAACUGAAUUUCACAGCUCAGACUCGUCAUGGUUUCCUGUGUGGUGGGCAGUUUCUCAGUUUGAUCAAGUGCAGCACACAACGACAGACUUCUGGCAGCUGAAUCAAAAUCUACCUGCAGAUCCAAUAAACAAAAAUGUCAAACCCACCGGUCACCCAUCAACCAGGUGCAGGCGGCUAUGGGACAAAUGUCCAGACUGGAGAGUGGAGCACAGGCCUUUGCUCCUUCUGCAGUGACUUUCUUGUCUGUGCUCUUGGCUGCGUGUGUCCUGUUGCCCUGGGCUGCUACACUGCAGAUAAGUAUGGAGAAAACUGUUGCCUGGGUUGUUUGCCAGGAGGAUUGACCGCCAUGAGGACUCAUAUGAGACUGACCUAUGGUAUUCAGGGAACCGUAUGCAACGAUGCCUUGAUGUCUUGUUUCUGUGGACUUUGUGAGCUGUGCAGGAUGGCGCGAGAAAUUCGUAUCAGGAAUGGAGAAGUCUCACAGUAACCAGACGCAGAGGAUUCUGGGCUGCUUGACAGUAUUCCUAUUUGUCACUGUUCCCCUGCUGCUGUGGAUGCAAUGUGUUUAUUUCUGUAGCUUUUAUGCAAAUAACAAAUGCAAAGCAAUUAAUGAAAUGCAUUUUAAAGUGUCAAAUGGAUUUUUACCUUUAGCUUUAUACUCAAGUCUAGUCAAGUCAACAUUAUUAUCAAUAAUGUCAUAUGUGCAGGACACACAGAGAAUUGAAAUAGCGUUUCCUCUUAUCCCCAGUGCAAACAGCAUUAAACAUGAAAUAUAAAAAAUAUAAGUAAUUAAAAGAUAUAAACAGGCAGUGGCAGAUCUAGACAAUAUAAAGAGUAUAAAUAUGGCGGGAUGAACAGAAUGAACUGUAUAAAUAUAAACAGAAUUAUCUGUUUAUAUUUAUACCAUUCAUUCUGUUCUGUGUGUCUGUGUAACAUUGUAACUAUUUUGCAUCAGUGUAAAUAAAUUACAUUGUUCACUC